UACGUAGGGUGCGAGCGUUAAUCGGAAUUACUGGGCGUAAAGCGCACGUAGGCGGAUUGUUAAGUCGGGGGUGAAAUCCUGGAGCUCAACUCCAGAACUGCCUUCGAAACUGGCGAUCUUGAGUCCGGGAGAGGUGAGUGGAACUGCGAGUGUAGAGGUGAAAUUCGUAGAUAUUCGCAAGAACACCAGUGGCGAAGGCGGCUCACUGGCCCGGUACUGACGCUGAGGUGCGAAAGCGUGGGGAGCAAACAGG
rnacentral:rRNA from 1 species